AAAAAAAAAAAAAAAAGGAGGAAGUGUAGUCAGGACAGCACGGCAUUGACCUCAAUGCAGAGCCCUUCUGAGGGCUGGCCCUGUGUGACCGCAGGAUCAUCCACCAGAGCAGCUGCCCUGCUCUCAGCACCCCUCCGUCCUCUCAGAGUCCUGGGGCAGAACCCUCUGUGCAAUGCACUGACCCUAGAGCGGCUGUUAGCCUGUCCUCCCUGGCUGGUGAGGCCGGACUUACAGACUCACAUGUGAGCCCUCUGGGAAAUCGGGGCUCAACAAAGAGCUUCAAAGUGCCGGGCCCUGCCUGAGCUGCCGCCUGCUCUGGGCUGCUGUCCCGAUUGCCAACUCUCGCUCUCCAGUGGCUCAUUGUGGGCUCCCAGUUCGAGGACAUCCGAGAUGCCCUCAUCUGGCUGCUUUGUCAUUUACCGCCUGGCUGAGGCCCAUAGUCAGGCCGGCUGCCCCCUCAGGAGCUUCAGGGCCCGGAGCAGCCGCCUGUGCCGGGGCAGUGCCCCUCUCCCCUCCUGGGCCACCCUCCUGGGCGCUGAACUGACCCCGCAGCAAGCCUGGGCACGGAGCUGCACAUGGUCACCCCUGCAGCCACUGCACCGUGAGGAACAGGCCAGUUUGCAGGGGCCAGGCCUCUGCAAGACCCGAGAGGAGGGGCCAGUCCUGGAGGCCCUACCCUUCUGGGCAUCCUCCCCCCGGGGGACCUGGGACUCCACAUCAGGGCCAUUUGGGGCCUGAGCCUUGGCCCAGGACACUGCAUUCUCUUAGGGCUUCAUCCUUGCCCGUGCGUGACAGAGAAUAGACAGGAGCCUGCAAGACGGGGUCACUGAGGCCGUGUGCCGGCUGGGAGACGCAGAGAUGACAGAGCAGAGGCAACAUGGCAGGGACGAGCUCCCCCAACUGGCACCUUUGCCUGGCAAUUCUUUGUGCUCCUGGGGGUACUGGGCACAAAGACCCGUGCACCCACGCCUUUGGUGCCGGGACUCUGCAGCACCUCCCGUCAGGAAGGGGUGAGUCUGUCUGUCUCUGGCAUCUGGACCAGCCUGUGACUUGCUCUGACCAACAGAACGUGGUGGGAGUGGCACGGGGCCGAUUCUGAGCCAGGCCUGCUGCCCAGGCUCCCCCACACCCGCAGCACGGCCUGGCGGCCUGCUGGGGCACGAUGGGCUGUGACGUCCCGGCGAGCGCCGGAGACGGGAGAGCGGAGGCCCGAUCGGCAGAGCCCUCUCCCAGACCCGCAGCUGAUGGUGGACGCAGGAGCCCGGCCAGCCCAGAGGCCACCAGGUUGAGCCCAGCCUCGCGGCCCCUGCAGACUCGGCCAUUGUUCUAAGCCCCGUGCUCUGGGGUGUUGGUUACGCAGAGGUGCUGAUGGCCACGGGGCCUGGCAGCGAAGGGGCAGCUGUGCACGCAGCCACUGUGUUUCUCUCUUUCCUCCAGAGGAGGUUCUGCCCCCGAGAAGCUCUGCUCAGGGCCCCUUCCUGGGAGCCUGUCCUGAGCAAGGAGCCUGCGGGGCGGAGGCCACCAGGUGUCACGGAAGGAGCCAGUGUGCCAACCACUGCUUCACUGCGUCAUGCACUCACUCCCCAAGGCUUCUGCAGGGGCCCUGGGGAGGCCCAGGCCACAGGGCAGGGUCACGCCUUCCAGUAGCUUCCAGUCCGAUGGCGGAGAUAGACAAGGAAACAGAUGAGGCCACGUGGCGUCUUCUCGAGUCAAACCAGGUGAGCCCGUGGGAAUGCCAGGAGGGGCAGUGAAGCCCACCCCAGGAAGAGGUGGUGUCAGGACCUGAGCCUGUGACCCCGGAGCCUCACCCCAGACCAGCUGCUCACCCCUGCUCUGCCAAUCCCUGUUUCCUGUAGACCUCUGGCCACACCGUGCCGGAAGGAUCCAGAAAGCAGACGGGGGGGGUACACUUCCUCUGCACCCCACAAUGCAGACAGGGCCCAGGCUAGCCCUCGGGUGCAGGCUAGCCCGCCACCCCUCAGAAAUACUCAGAAAACACUUGCUGAGUUGAAUUGAAAGGAACUAAAUUAAAUCAAACAAAUAGCACUGGUCUGUCUCAUUGGGUGGGCCACAGCCUCAUGUCCAAUGAUGUGGUCGGGAUGGGGACCAUUUUCCAUUUUCCUCUCCCUCCGGGUCUCCACCCCCAGGGUGGGCACAGGGCUGGGAAACAUCAGAGCUGAUGCGUGCUGACCAUAUUUGUAAAGAUUGCCCCUCUUCUCAGUCAGAAAACUCCAGAAUAGGUCUUGUCUACUCAUCUCCUUCUUCGUUUUAUUCCUCAAAUUUGGGGCAGGGGCACCUCCUGUGGGACGGAAACUGUGCUCGGCCCCGGGGUGAGAAGGGCAACCAGACGCAGUUGCGGACCUGGAAGAGAUCAUCGUCUAGCAGAAGAGAUGGUGCAGGCAGGGGCCACAGGUGGAUGUGGAGGGAGACAUGGCAGGAUGAAGGGUCAAAGGGAGCCCCAGUGGGGACCUGAGUCCAGGAAGGCUUCCUGGAGGAGGGGACCCUUGGGCAGGAAGGAAAGGGGAAGCAGGGCUGGAGAAGGCAGCAAGGGCGUUGAGGGAGGGAGAAGAGCGCAAGCCGUGUGCAGGGCCACUGCAGCGCCGUGGUGGAGGGACCAGGGGGCUGGGGCACGAUGGCCGGAAGCAUUGUUGACUCCACAAGUUUGGAGUUUGUGCUGAAAGCAGACAGGGAAAUCCGGAGGAUGCUGUGGUCCAUUGCUCCCUGGUCCCUGAUGCUCCCAGCCCCGCCUCCACGCCCUUUGCCCCUCGUCUUGGCGUUUCCUCCCGCGUGGGGCAGAAUGUCCUGCUGGCCCCGCCGAGGCAGGGCUUGGCAGCGGGAUGAGCAGAGGUUUGGAACCUCCCUACAAAAGCUGUGCUUCUGCCAACCAACAAGAAGGUGCCCAGGGGGCCCGCUGGCCCAAGGAGGGUGAGGGGUCUUGAGCAGACCCGGAGCCCAGCCCCUCAGCGGAAGGCCAGCCCCACCCCACUCCGAUGCUUGCUGGGAUGGCUUCCCAAAUACAGGGCCGUCUGAGUCAGUGCAGGCUGCUCCACCACAGUACGCAGCCCGGGGGCUGAAACAGCCAGCAUUUUCUUCUCCCAGUCCUGGAGGCUGGGAACCCAGGAUUGGGGCGCUGCCUGUCCCACGUCUGGCGAGCGUCUGCUUCCUGGUCCCCAGAUGGUCAUCUUCUCAUUGCGCCCUCACGGGGCAGAGGGCAGACAGCAGCGAGCUCUCUUGAGUCCCUUCUUACACGGCCACUGAUCCCAUCACGGGGGUUUCCACCCUCAUGACCUCAUCACCUCCCAAAGGCCCCGCCUCCUAACACCAUCCCAUGGGGAUUCGGGUUUCAACAGGUGAAUUUGCGGGGGACACGCACAUUCAGUCUACAGCAAGCACUUAGACUCAAACCCUCGCCUCCAGCUCCGCUUCUGGGCAAACCCAACCGGACGCGGCAGCCACGUGCGCAAACCCAGACGGCGCUGCGGGGGUCUCCUGGGCGGGCGAGGCCAGGUGGCAGGACGCACAAGCCCGGCCCGGGGUUUGGGCCUUCAGCCCAACCUUCGCCAGCCCUGGGAUCUCAGGAAAGCCUCGAUGAGGGGACGGUGUCCUGCCUCCUCCCGUGAUGAGGUAAGGACCACCAUGCCCGAGACCCCGCACCAGGAGAGGGGCACGUGGACUUCACUCACGCCCUGUGCUCACGGGCAGAGCCGACGUCAGGAUUGAAAGGAAGAACCUCGCCCGCCUCACCUGGCUCACGGUGCUCUGGGGCAGAAAGGCAGGUAGCCAGCCACCCCAGCCCCCAGCGGGGUGACCCCAGGCCAGUGAGGGACAGUUCAGAACGAGAAGGCUCCCUUCUCAGCAGGAGGACCCCGGGAAGCCACCUCCUGCAGCCGCUGCAGAGACCAUGCAAGUCUAAUCUGGAGAAUUCUCUGAGCCCGCCAAUGCCUGCCCUGCCAUCCCCAGCUCCCUCCCUCCCUUGCCCCUGCCUGGCCAAGCUCAAAGGGGCGGGGUGGGGGUGGCCCUGUUGCUCUAAUAGAAAUCGCUUUCCGCCAGACAGCACUGUCACAGUACACAAAGUUGUGCUCUUGAAGGAAACAGGGCCGGACGAGCCCGCCUAUUUCACAGAAGUAAUCCCAAGCCCCAAGUGCUCAAUCCUGACCGGGUACCAGUAACUGCAGCCAGCGCUACACCCGGCAUCGCUUGUAUGGCUCACACGGCCUUGCCAGCGGGAACAGCAGGGCCGGCUACGUCAUUUGUGGGGUCCGGUGCAAAACGAAAAUGGAGGGCCCUUCUUCCAAAAUGAGGAGGCCCCUGAACGCAGGGCCCUGUGUGACCCGGGGGCUGGGUAAGUCAGGGUUCCUUCAACGCCUGUCUGGCGGGCACCGCUUCGUGCCAGACACAGUUCCCUCCACCUGGGGCGCUCAGUCGGUGGGGUGGGUGGGGCUGAUGACAAAUAAGCAACAAGAGGGUCACGGACUGUGUGACGGAGCUGAAGGAGGUAAACUGGGGGCGUCCCUGGGGGAUGCCUCUGUGCAGGGGCUGAUCAGAGAACUGAGACGCCUAGAGUGACGCUGAGUGCCGACCCUGCGGGACGGUGACCCGGGGGGAAGGAAGAGUCUGAGCAGAGGAGAGGAGGCUGGGAAGGUGCCGGCUGGUUUCCGUCCUGCUGUCUCCAUUAGAUGAACUUCCCCGGUGGUCUGCACCCUGGGCCCCACCCCACGCGGAACCUCACAGAGGCUCUCGGGGCACCCUCCCCACCCCAACUGCCUCCUCCUGUCUCAUCUCGCUCACUCCUCUGUUUGGGGCUGGGUUUGGCAUCUUCCCUUCCUACGUGGAUACGUUUCAAUAUUUCAAAAGGGAAUUUUAUUAAAAAGCAGUUGGAUGA